rnacentral:rRNA from 1 species
GGAUACUUGAUUGAACCGCAUGGUUCAAUUAUAAAAGGUGGCUUUUAGCUACCANUUAGNGAUGGACCCGCGGCGCAUUAACUAGUUGGGGGGGUAACGGCUCCCCAAGGGAACAAUGCGUAACCGACCUGAAAGGGGGAUCGGCCCCCCUGGGACUGAAACCCGGCCCAAACUCCUACGGGAGGGAGCAGUAGGGAAUCUUCCCCAAUGGACGAAAGUCUGACGGAGCAACCCCCCGGGGGUGAUGAAGGUUUUCGGAUCCUAAAACUCUGUUGUUAGGGAAAAAAAAGUACCUUUUAAAAAGGGCGGUACCUUGACGGUACCUAACCAAAAAGCCCCGGCUAACUACCUGCCAGCCGCCGCGGUAAUACCUAGGUGGCAAGCGUUGUCCGGAAUUAUUGGGCCUAAAGCCCGCCCAGGCGGUUUCUUAAGUCUGAUGGGAAAGCCCCCGGCUCACCCGGGGNGGGUCAUUGGAAACUGGGGAACUUGAGUGCAAAAGAGGANANNGGANNUUCNCUUNNNNCNGUGAAAUGCNUAAAAAUGUGGAGGAACCCCCGGUGGCNAAGGCNACNNUNCUGGUNNUGUAACUGANCNUUGAGGCCC